GAUGAACGCUGGCGGCGUGCCUAAUACAUGCAGGUCGAGCGAACGGACGAGAAGCUUGCUUCUCUGAUGUUAGCGGCGGACGGGUGAGUAACACGUGGAUAACCUACCUAUAAGACUGGGAUAACUUCGGGAAACCGGAGCUAAUACCGGAUAAUAUUUUGAACCGCAUGGUUCAAAAGUAAAAGACGGUCUUGCUGUCACUUAUAGAUGGAUCCGCGCUGCAUUAGCUAGUUGGUAAGGUAACGGCUUACCAAGGCAACGAUGCAUAGCCGACCUGAGAGGGUGAUCGGCCACACUGGAACUGAGACACGGUCCAGACUCCUACGGGAGGCAGCAGUAGGGAAUCUUCCGCAAUGGGCGAAAGCCUGUCGGAGCAACGCCGCGUGAGUGAUGAAGGUCUUCGGAUCGUAAAACUCUGUUAUUAGGGAAGAACAUAUGUGUAAGUAACUGUGCACAUCUUGACGGUACCUAAUCAGAAAGCCACGGCUAACUACGUG
rnacentral:rRNA from 1 species